AACACGUGGGGAACCUGCCCCAUAGUCUGGGAUACCACUUGGAAACAGGUGCUAAUACCGGAUAAGAAAGCGGAUCGCAUGAUCAGCUUUUAAAAGGCGGCGUAAGCUGUCGCUAUGGGAUGGCCCCGCGGUGCAUUAGCCAGUUGGUAAGGUAAAGGCUUACCAAGGCGAUGAUGCAUAGCCGAGUUGAGAGACUGAUCGGCCACAUUGGGACUGAGACACGGCCCAAACUCCUACGGGAGGCAGCAGCC
rnacentral:rRNA from 1 species